rnacentral:rRNA from 1 species
AGUAUUACAUUUACCACCCUGAACGCGCCCGAUCUCGUCUGAUCUCAGAAGCUAAGCAGGGUCGGGCCUGGUUAGUACUUGGAUGGAAGAUUUCUCUUUUUUAAAGAAUUCAUUUAUUGAUUUGA